UCUGCCACCCUGAACAUACCUGCUCUAAUCUUCUUUCAGAGGCUAAGCAGGGUCAGGCCUAGUUAAUAGUUGAAUAGGAGCCCACUAUGGAACACCAGGCAUCUGCAGGC
rnacentral:rRNA from 1 species